UACGUUUACGGGACAUGAAUGGGACAGUUGGGUUUAGAAAAAUAAAAACGGGACAGUUGGGUUUAGGUAAAGAAGGAGGGUACAGUUGGCUUUAGGGAAAGGAGGAGGGGACAGUUGGGUUCAGGUAAAGACGGACGGGACAGUUUGGUUUAGGGAAAGAAGAACGGGAAGGUUGGGUUUAAGGAAAGGAGGAGGGACAGUUGGGUUUAAGUAAAGAAGAACGGGACAGUUGGGUUUAGGGAAAGGAAGAGGGGAAAGUUGGGUUUAAGUAAAGAAGAACGGGACAUUGGGUUUAAGUAAAGAAGAACGGGACAGUUGGGUUAAGUAUAGAAGAACGGGACAGUUGGGUUUAAGUAUAGAAGAACGGGACAGUCGGGUUUAGGGAAAGGAAGAGGGGAAAGUUGGGUUUAAGUAAUGAAGAAAUGGACAGUUGGGUUUAGGAAAAG